CCUACGGGCGGCUGCAGUGGGGAAUAUUGGACAAUGGGGGGAACCCUGAUCCAGCCAUGCCGCGUGUGUGAAGAAGGCCCUCGGGUUGUAAAGCACUUUCAGUGAGGAAGAACGCCUGGUGGUUAAUACCCAUCAGGAAAGACAUCACUCACAGAAGAAGCACCGGCUAACUCCGUGCCAGCAGCCGCGGUAAUACGGAGGGUGCGAGCGUUAAUCGGAAUUACUGGGCGUAAAGCGCGCGUAGGUGGCUUGAUAAGCCGGGUGUGAAAGCCCCGGGCUCAACCUGGGAACGGCAUCCGGAACUGUCAAGCUAGAGUGCAGGAGAGGAAGGUAGAAUUCCCGGUGUAGCGGUGAAAUGCGUAGAGAUCGGGAGGAAUACCAGUGGCGAAGGCGGCCUUCUGGACUGACACUGACACUGAGGUGCGAAAGCGUGGGUAGCAAACAGGAUUAGAUACCCGAGUAGUC
rnacentral:rRNA from 1 species